GAAGAAGGGAGGAAGGGAGGAAGGGGGGAAGAGAGGAAGAUAAAAGAGAAAGGGAAAAAGCUAAAAGUAACCUCAUGACUUUCUUGCAGUUUAAGAAAUCCCUGUUCCCUCCUUUUCAGGACGAUGAAGCCACCCCAGACAUUACAAACAACUGCAACAAAUGAAUCUGGCAGCAUAAAAAAUGUCUAGUGUUCAAGUCUUCAUAGUGAGACCCAUACAUCUUGUACACAAUAUGUCGAAUGUUUGUUGCAGCAGGUGAAUCAAACCCAAAGACACUGGACAGUCUGUGAAAGGGAGCAAGAAUUGCAGUUCUGAAGGCCCCUGACUUUGGUUGUUUACAGAGUUCAAUCCUGUUUAUUGUGCUCCUUGGUACCUUCUUCAUCUGCAUAUCCUGAAGGUUCUUCCCCUGGUUUUAGGAAUCUGCCUACAUAUUCAUAUUCUUCUUUAAACUGCAUUUCCCAUUCUCGAACACUCUCCAUUUGCGCUGCAUUCAAGUCUGAGAGAUCAUCAUAUUCAUCUCUAAGUGCAUCCUUAUCUAGGCAAAAUGUUGCCAGUCUUCUGGAGGCAUCCCUACCAGCAAAUAUUCCAUAUGCACCCGCGGGGCCCUACAACUUGCGGCAUUUGGUCACAGCAAAGACUUUCCCAUUGACCUCAAGCAGGAGGCGCAGCUUGUGCAACUCGACCGACCUACUGGUGAAGCUACUUGAGGCUGAAGUCCCACAUCUCCAUGCGCUGCAGGGAGGGGACCAGGCUCUCCUUCCCCGCCCUGGCCCCUCCUCCCGCCCCAUUCUUGAACACUCAGGGUCACUUGGCCACUGAGCCACAUCCCCAGCCCUAUUUUGUAUUUUAUUUAGAGUCAGGGUCUCACUGAGUUGCUAAGCAACUUGCCUUUGCUGAGGCUGGCUUUGAACUUGCGAUCCUCCUGCCUCAGCCUCUGGAAUCACUGGGAUUACAGGCGUGGGCCGUUGUGCCCAGUGGUAUUUGUUCUUUUUAAAAUAUUUCUUGCUGAGCUUCUUGUGUUUGUGACUGGUGUCCUUCGUCAAUUUCAAGAAAAUCAUUGCUGUUUAUCUCUUCAGAUCAUGCUUUUGUCUUUUUCUCUCCUCUUGUGACUUACGCUGUGUUGGACCUUUGGAGUACCUCUGACAUGGCUCCUGUGUUCUGAUUUUCCAUUCUUUUUCUUUGUGUGGGUUGGAACUGUUUGCUACCUUGUAUCAUGACAGUUAAUCUUGGUUUCUGCUGUUGGACUGCUAUCACAUGUAGUAACAAGGCCCUUAAUAUCAGAUACUGCCUUUUAGAGUGAUAGGAUGUUGACAUGACUUUUAUCUAUUGAUUUCAAAUUUAUGAGUCUGUAGGAGAAUCAGGAAAUUUUUGUCUUUUCAUUUCUUCUUCAUUUGGGGGUAUAUUUUAAUUACAGUUGGCACUCAGCAGUCUUUUCCUUUUCUCACGGUUGCUUUAUUGUUUGUUUUGUUUUGUUUUGUUUUGUUUUUUCAAAUUGUCCGGCUUUAUCAUGUUUCCUAAUUUCCUAUUAUAUCAGGGAUUAUGAAUUAGGGAAAUUUUGAAAGAUGUUCUAGGGCUGGGGAUGUGGCUCAAGCGGUAACGCGCUCGCCUGGCAUGCGUGCGGCCCAGGUUCGAUCCUCAGCACCACAUACAAACAAAGAUAUUGUGUCCGCCAAAAAACUAAAAAAUAAAUAUUAAAAAAAAUUCUCUCUGUCUCUCACCUCUCUCUUUAAAAAAAAAAAGAAAGAUGUUCUAUCCUUUCAUAUAGGGUUGUCCUUUCUUCUGGCAGGAAGAUGGGCAUCAGUGAUUGUCUUGCUCUAAUUGAAGUUUAGUUUUAUGCUUUUCUAGCUAAGAUUUUGCUCUUACUACUAGCUGAGGCUGUUCUGCAGUCUAAGCUGAAGUCAGGGUGUUCACCCAGGGCCUCCUCUUUGCUGGGACUUUAAUUCUUGCCUGUGUCUGCUCAGCUCAGGAGGUUGGUGAGAUUUUAGUCCAGUUCCUCAGGCUCCCGGUUUCUGCUUUCUCUGGGUUCCCAGCCUCUCAUCCUGGAUCAGUCAGUGAGUUGAGGGGAAUUUGUAAGUUGACUUAGGCUCCUCCUCUGCAGUUUCAUCCUUUCUGAGGUUUUCUUCUCAGAUUCUAGCCCCUCUAGGAUUUGGACCCCUUCCUUUCUCCUCAUGUCAGUGGCCUGUUGACAGCUAUCGGGGCUCUAGUGACCCAUGCUACGGCCCAGAAAAUAUCUGAGGGAGAAGCAGGCUGGAGAGUGCAGCGGCUUCCUGUGCUCCUAUCACACGUGUUGGCCUUGUCGUCCUGCUUGUCCCACUGGCCCUCCAGUUCUGGACGCCACAGUUGGCUCUAUUUUGUACAGGCUUCCUAGCUGUUUCGGGUGGGAGGGUUGGUGCUACAGCAGACACAGUUUCCAUGGCACGUUCCCAGGGUUUUCUUCUUUAUAUUUUGUUAUCAUUAUUUCCAUAUCUAGUGGUUACAGAAAAAGAUGAGAUCUAUUCCAGAAAGCCUCUGCCGGGAACUCUUCUUCAAGAGGAAGCACUUGAACAAUGAACAGAAUGACAUGGCCUUGGAUGAGCACUCUCCGCUGGUCUUCUCUAAUAGCUGGUCUUUGGAUCUGCACCUGCCAAAGAAUGAGGAAGUCACCUUUGAUGUGCUUCUGAUUUCCCAGGAAAAUCCACUAGUCCUGGACACUUUCCUCAGGGUAGUUGAGAAUUUAGAAGAUGAUUCCCCUCUUUCUCAGGGAACUAGAUAUAAGCUUAAAGGCUAUUCUUCCCAAACUGCCCAAACUUUAAAGCAGAACUGGCAAAACUUGGUGGUUUCCCUAAGAAACUCACCAUCAUGAGGAAGAUAUUCUUCUUGAAUCUUUUUUUUUUCAAUUACUUUUAGUUAUGUAUAGCAAUAUAAUAUAUUUUGGCAGAAUAUAUAUACAUAGAAUGUACCUUAUUCUAUUUAGGUUCCCACUCGUGUGGUUGUACAUAAUAUAGAGUUACCCUAGCCAUGUAUUCAAAUACCAGGUUAGGUAAGUUAUGGCCAAUUAAUUUUACUGUCUUUCCUAUUCCCCCAUUCCCUUUCCUUCAUUUCCAUUUAUCUAAUCCAAUGAACUUUAUUCUUUUCCUCCCCACCCUCCCUUGUUGUGAUUCAGCAUCCACAAAUCAGAGAGAGCAUUCGGACAUUGGUUUUUUGGGAUUGGCUUAUUUCACUUAUUGGCUUAUUUCACAUAAUAUUUUCCAGUUCCUUCCAUUUAACAGCAAAUGCCAUUAUUUCAUCCUUCUUUAAGGCUGAGUAAUAUUCCACUGUGUAUAUGUCCUACAUUUUCUUUUUCUAUUCAUCUGUUGAAGGACACCUCAGUUGUUUCCAUAGCUUGGCUAUUGUGAAUUGAGCUGCUAUAAACAUGGAUGUGGCUUAGUCACUGUAGUAUGUUUUUAAGUCCCUUGGGUAUAGACUGAGGAGGAGUGGGAUAACAAGGUCAGUGUUAUCAGUGGUUCUAUUCCGAGUUUUCUGAGGAAUCUCCAUACUGCUUUCCAUAGUGGUUGCAUCAUACCUUUCUCUCCACAUCCUUGCCAACAUCUAUUGUUACUUGUAUUCUUGAUAAUUGCCAUUAUGACUGGAGUGAGAUGAAAUCUCAGUGUAGUUUUGAUUCACACUUAUCUAAUUGCUAGAGAUGUUGAAUAUUUUUUUCUUAUGUUUGUUGACCAGUUGUAUUUCUUUUUCUGUGAAGUGUUUAGUUCCUUUGCCCAUUUAUUGAUUGGAUUAUUUCCCCCCUGGUGUUAUCUGUGUGAGUCUUGAUGCCAAAAUAAUCUCCUUUAUGAUUCAAGAUUGAAACUGUCGUACCUGCAUCCUACUGGCUUACAAUCUUUGAAGCCACAAGGGACCAGGUGAAGCCCUCUAUGUAGUCUGAAGGAGACUGACUGUCUGAGGGAGCAGCAUGCCCUUGGGAUUUUCAAAUGCCUACCAGAUAAUCAAUAUAGAUUGUUUUUAUUAAAAUGCCAUACAGAUGUUAAAAACUUGGUGUUUUAGUCAACUUUUGUGUCACUGUGAUAAAAUUACCCAACAAGAGCAACUUAAAAGAGGAGAAGUUUAUUUGGGGCUCAGGGUUUUGGAGGUCUCAGUCCAUAGACAUCUGACCCCAUUACUCUGGGCCCAAGAUGAGGUAGCAUAUCAUGGGAGAAUGUCUCAGAAGAGUGAAGCUGUUCAGCUUAUGACAGAUUCAGGAAGCAGAGAGAGAGACAGAGGAGAGGGCAAGGGAAUGUGGGGAAGAUGCACCCUUCCAAGUCAGGUACCCAGUAACCAACUUCCUUCAGCCACCGACAGUCACCUCCCAGUGUAAUUCACAUGAGGAGGGACUGGUUAGGCCACAGCUCUCCCUGAUCAAUCACUUUACUUCUGAGUAUUACUGCACUGGCACAAAAACUUUUGUGGGAUACAUCACAUCCAAACCAUAACAUUCUGUACCUGACCCCCAACGCUCAUGUCCAUCUCACAGUGCAAAAUUCAUUUAAUUUUUUUCCAAGAGUUUCCCUUUCUUAACAUUGUAAGAAUUACCCCAAAGUCCAAGUCCAAAGUCUCAUCUGAAAACUCUUGGUUGUGAGGCCCUGUAAAAUCAAAAGCAAGUCACAAUCUCUAAUAUACAAUGGCACAGAGUAAACACUGUGACUCCAAAGGGGAGAAAUAGGCACAGAGAAAUAAGGGGCCAAAGAAAGACCAAAAUCCAGCUGAGUUCCUGGAACUCCAUCCCUGAUGGCUCAUCUAAGAUACAAGGCUGUGCCAUGUGCUCUCCCAAGGGUUUGGGCAGCCCUCCUUCUUUGGUCUUCAUGUUGCUCUCUCAGUCUCUCACAAUACAAUCACUUUACCCCAAACAUUCCUGAAUCAAGACAGGAGGUUUUGUGGGAAACCUUACAUACAAACUAUAACACUUGACAAAGCCUUACCUGGAUAAUGGAAGGUGGACUGGGCUACAAAGAUAUUUUUCAUUAUAAAGAUGAUGCUGUUCUCUAAUUUUCAAAAAUGUUUCUUUGAGAUGCUGCAGGUUAAGCAGCUUCACCUGAUGUUGGAGAACUUCAAUUUAGCUUCUGUUCACUUCUUCCUGAAUAGUCUUUACAUACGUUGCUUAAGAGCAAUUAGAAAGAUUAAUUAGUUACCUAUUCUGUGCACAAAUUUUAUUUACUCUUUUCUUGUUCAUGGAUAGACGUUCUUUCAUUUUAAAAUCAAGACAGUUUGCUGUUCCUUUAACAGCAAUGAAAAACUGCCCAGGAUCUAGUCAGACAAUCUAUGAUUUUGAAAAGAACAUCAUUGAUGAAGGUCAUAAUUUCCCCAAUGGGAAUGAAAAGA
rnacentral:lncRNA from 1 species